CUUGUAGGCGGUUGGUCGCGUCUGCCGUGAAAUCCUCUGGCUUAACUGGGGGCGUGCGGUGGGUACGGGCUGACUUGAGUGCGGUAGGGGAGACUGGAACUCCUGGUGUAGCGGUGGAAUGCGCAGAUAUCAGGAAGAACACCGGUGGCGAAGGCGGGUCUCUGGGCCGCUACUGACGCUGAGGAGCGAAAGCGUGGGGAGCGAACA
rnacentral:rRNA from 1 species